rnacentral:lncRNA from 1 species
GAGCAUCCGCAGCGCUGGGUGCGAAGGCCGGAUCGAACCCGGCCUAUCGCACCCAGCGCCGUUGCUGCACCCGGGAGCGAAGGGAGGGGGGCGAUGGGUCGCACUCGGCUGCUGUGGGAGCGAAGGAAGGGGCGUGUUUACACGCGCCCCUUUUCAAACCAAAAAAAAAAACAAAAAAAAAAGUAAUGGGUGCAAUAGAGGGUGCAAGCGUUGCUGGAGUGGGUGCAGCGUUGGAGGUG